rnacentral:rRNA from 1 species
AGGUGCUGCAUGGCUGUCGUCAGCUCGUGUCGUGAGAUGUUGGGUUAAGUCCCGCAACGAGCGCAACCCUCGCCAUUAGUUGCCAUCAUUUAGUUGGGCACUCUAAUGGGACUGCCGGUGUCAAACCGGAGGAAGGUGGGGAUGACGUCAAGUCCUCAUGGCCUUUAUGACCAGGGCUACACACGUACUACAAUGGCCGGUACAAAGGGCAGCCACAGUGCGAACUGGAGCAAAUCCCUUAAAGCCGGUCUCAGUCCGGAUCGGAGUCUGCAACUCGACUCCGUGAAGUUGGAAUCGCUAGUAAUCGUGGAUCAGCAUGCCACGGUGAAUACGUUCCCGGGCCUUGUACACACCGCCCGUCACACCACGGAAGUUGGUUGUACCAGAAGUAGUUGAGCGAACCUUCGGGACGCAGACUACCAAGGUAUGGCUGGUAACUGGGGUGAAGUCGUAACAAGGUA